AUGCUUGCAAUGGACCAAAAAACUUAUGAGCUUAUCGGGACUGAUUAUCCUGGUAACAGGGCAGUGGAUGUGAAGGAUCCCUCGCUGAGUUGGAUGAUCGGGUUUAUGUUUCUAGUUAGCUUCAUUGGUAUUUUUAGUCUCGUUGCUCUGCGCAAGGUGAUGGUGAUUGAUUACAAGCUAACCUAUCGUAGUGGAACUGCCACCGCUGUGUUGAUAAAUAGCGUCCACAGCACUACUGGAGUUGAACUUAUAGAAAAACAAGUUAGCUACCUUGGAAAAUAUUUAAGCAUCAGUUUUCUUUGGAACUGCUUAAGUGGUUCUUCAGUGGUGUUGGGGACUCUUGUGGUUUUGAUAAUUUCCCUUCCCUGGGACUUGCAGCAUUUAAGAACACGUUUUUGUAUCCAUAUCCUUGAUACUCGGGGAUGGCAUUUAUAA
rnacentral:rRNA from 1 species